rnacentral:rRNA from 1 species
GAUGAACGCUGGCGGCGUGCCUAAUACAUGCAAGUCGAGCGAACAGAUAAGGAGCUUGCUCCUUUGACGUUAGCGGCGGACGGGUGAGUAACACGUGGGUAACCUACCUAUAAGACUGGAAUAACUCCGGGAAACCGGGGCUAAUGCCGGAUAACAUUUAGAACCGCAUGGUUCUAAAGUGAAAGAUGGUUUUGCUAUCACUUAUAGAUGGACCCGCGCCGUAUUAGCUAGUUGGUAAGGUAACGGCUUACCAAGGCAACGAUACGUAGCCGACCUGAGAGGGUGAUCGGCCACCCUGGAACUGAGACACGGUCCAGACUCCUACGGGAGGCAGCAGUAGGGAAUCUUCCGCAAUGGGCGAAAGCCUGACGGAGCAACGCCGCGUGAGUGAUGAAGGUCUUCGGAUCGUAAAACUCUGUUAUUAGGGAAGAACAAAUGUGUAAGUAACUGUGCACGUCUUGACGGUACCUAAUCAGAAAGCAACGGCUAACUACGUG